UGUGUAUAUAAUUGUUGAUUAUAAAUGCCUUUGGCUAUCUCGAGCUUGAACAUUCUUAGUAUAUUUUGUUUAGCAUAGUUUAGUAGAUUGAAAAUGUAUGCUUAAGGCUGAUAUAACAAAUGUUGUUUGCUUAAAGUUAGUUUAGAUAAUCAUGCAUACUUAAUCUACUAUAGAUAUAUUAUAGUUAGAUUUAAUGAACACUUUAUGAAAACAUGGAACUCAUUCCUAUGAUGGAUACUUAAUUUUCUUUUUUUAAUUAACAUAUCUAUUGAAGUUACUUUAACUAUUUUACAUCUAAGUUUUAAAGGUUUAGAACAUUCUCCUGUUUUCGAAAAUACUCAGAAACUACCUCAAUCCGUGCAAUGGUGUCUAUGACUACAAAAUGUUGAUUCUAUAUGUUUAUUUUACAGAUUAGUUCCAUACUUAUAAACUGAUGAAAAAUAGAUUUAUAUAUCUGAUCUCAAUCUAUGCAAUGGUGCCUAUGACUGCAAAAUGUUGAUUCUAAUAAUAUGUUUAUUUUACAGAUUAGUUCCAUACUUAUAAACUUACUUAUAAACUGAUGAAAAAUAGUUGUAUAUAUUUGAUGAUUUUGUAGACUUUAGAUAACUUUAUAUUUGUUGAAGUUUUUUUUUUUUUUUUUUAUAAGUAUACUCAAACAUAUUUUAUGGUAAAAUUUAAUGGUGUUAUGCUUGUUUUUUUUUUUUUCCUGAAACCCUUAACACUUUUGGUUGUCUUGGUUUUAAGUAUUUUUUCCAUUGUUUAUAUUCUAGCUCAAAAUACUCUUGAUUUACUAAUGUUGUAAUUGAUAUUUUAACAAGCAAACUGUUUUAUGUAAACUUCUACUAACAUGUGCCACAUAGAAAGAAAUCCAUAUUUUUCCAUUGUUUAUGUUCUACCUCAAAAUACUCUGGGUUUAAAAAUGUUGUUAUUGAUAUUUUAACAAGCAAAAUGUUUUAUGUAAACUUCUACCAACAUGUGCCACAUAACAAAGAAAUCCAGUUUUAUCUUGCCUUACUGUUGAUUUUAUUGCCAAAUCGAUGUAUAUAUUUUGUUGAUUAAAUUUGUUGCAUUUGAA